rnacentral:lncRNA from 1 species
GGAAUUAGUAAUGGUCGCCCACCCCCCUAUUAUCACAGCUGGGUGCUCCAGUUUGUGAAUGACGUGACAUCUACAUAAAGGCAGCCUUGUAGUCUUUUACCACUGGGUGCUAAAGAAACAGCACAGUGAAGGUACAUCUCAUCUGGCCAUGGCUCCCUGCAGGCAGUGUGUUCUUCAGGCUCCAGGUCGAACAGCCCUUGCUGGUAUCAUCAGUGACAUCCUCAGCAACAUUCAACUGCCCAAGAAGAUUGUAUACUAAUACUGAAGAAAUCUUUCCAGGCUUUUCUUUCCAGCUGAAGAACCCUGUCAUAUGGAUAUUUUAGAUAUUUCAGCACCACGGUGGCUUUUCCUUCUCAGAGUACAUUAUUUCACUAUUAGUGACCCUUUGCUGUCUUUCUUAGAGGAGGAAAGUUGCUGACAAUGAUGGUAGAUAGCAGAGUUUUGGUGCCUCAAAAUCACACACAAAAGGAAAAAAAAAAGCAGCCUUUCACUUCAGAGACUAGCUUUAGACUUCACAAGAACUAAUCCUUUCUGUACUGAGGUAUGCUAAAUAAGAUGCGCCAUUUGAGAUUCUGAUACUAUGAAAUAUUACAUUCAUAAAUAUUCUUCAAAAAAAA